rnacentral:rRNA from 1 species
GAAUCUUGCACAAUGGGGGAAACCCUGAUGCAGCGACGCCGCGUGAGUGAUGAAGCCCUUCGGGGUGUAAAGCUCUUUCGACAGGAACGAUUAUGACGGUACCUGGAGAAGAAGCUGCGGCUAACUACGUGCCGGCAGCCGCGGUAAUACGUAGGCAGCAAGCGGUGUUCGGAGUUACUGGGCGUAAAGAGUGUGUAGGCGGUUUGCCAAGUUUGGUGUGAAAUCUCCCGGCUUAACUGGGAGGGUGCGCCGAAUACUGGCAGGCUAGAGUAUGGGAGAGGGAAGCGGAAUUCCUGGUGUAGCGGUGAAAUGCGUAGAUAUCAGGAGGAACGCCGGUGGUGUAGACGGCUUCCUGGACCAUAACUGACGCUGAGACACGAAAGCGUGGGUAGCAAACAGG